CUUUAUCUCUUUGGCUACCUUUUUCUUUUAGAUUUGAAAACACUAUCACAUUCAAACUAACCCACAUAUAUGUUGGGAUGACUCUUCGAUCGACAACAAUUUAUAUCAAUUUAGAUUCCUUCUUUGCCCAUGAAACCUCAAUUUCAUUAGCCACGACCGUCGCAUGUCCGUUCGUCACCGUAAACUCCGUCACCUGAAGCCUCCGAUCUGCAACAAGUUGCGGUUCGACGACUUUGACAGCCUCCGCACAACCACCGGUCGCCGCAUACAUCCACCAUGAACCGGCUUUAAUUUGGAACCAUCAUACCCCGCUUUUCUGCCACCGCGAACUAGCUCGUCGUCGUCGCGAACCAGAUUCAGCCACCUCACGUGUUCGUGUAUCACCGCUCUUGUCUCAGCUCUAAUUUGCUUGGGUUCAACAACUAAGGUUCUUGAUUUUCGAGAUCGACUUGACUAAUUGGUCUUGCUUUGCUUGCUAAUAAGGUAACAAAAUAUGAAAGCCAAAUAGAAGCCAGCUGGACAGCAC